rnacentral:rRNA from 1 species
GAUGAACGCUAGCGGCAGGCUUAAUACAUGCAAGUCGAGGGGUAGCAAGAUUGUAGCAAUACAAUUGUUGACGACCGGCAAACGGGUGCGGAACACGUACACAACCUUCCUACAAGUGGGGAAUAGCCCAGAGAAAUUUGGAUUAAUACCCCGUAACAUAGCGAUGUGGCAUCACAUUGCUAUUAUAGCUUCGGCGCUUGUUGAUGGGUGUGCGGCUGGUUAGAUAGUUGGCGGGGUAACGGCCCACCAAGUCUACGAUCAGUAGCUGAUGUGAGAGCAUGAUAAGCCAAACGGGCACUGAGACACGGGCCCGACUCCUACGGGAGGCAGCAGUAAGGAAUAUUGGACAAUGGACGCAAGUCUGAUCCAGCCAUGCCGCGUGAAGGAUUAAGGUCCUCUGGAUUGUAAACUUCUUUUAUAAGGGACGAAAAAAGGUCUUUCUAGAUCGUCUGACGGUACCUUAUGAAUAAGCACCGGCUAACUCCGUGCCAGCCGCCGCCGUAAGAC